GGCUUGUGGCUCAGUGGUAGAGCACUUGCCUCGCACGUGUGAACUACUGGGUUCGAUCUUCAGCACCA
rnacentral:tRNA from 1 species